GGAUUAGAUACCCUGGUAGUCCACGCCGUAAACGAUGAGAACUAGGCGUUUGGGGGUUUCCCUGAGUGCCGUAGCUAACGCAUUAAGUUCUCCGCCUGGGGAGUACGGCCGCAAGGCUAAAACUCAAAGGAAUUGACGGGGGCCCGCACAAGCGGUGGAGCAUGUGGUUUAAUUCGAUGCAACGCGAAAAACCUUACCUACCCUUGAAAUCCCUGGAAUCUUCUAGAGAUAGAAGAGUGCCUUCGGGAACCAGGUGACAGGUGCUGCACGGCUGUCGUCAGCUCGUGCCG
rnacentral:rRNA from 1 species